rnacentral:lncRNA from 1 species
GAGGUAUGUUUCUACCCAGUUCAUAGGAUGAUAACUAUUAUUAUAUGUGCUUAUGAUAAAGCUAAGAAGUGUUUUUAGUGAUUAUGUAACUUUGAAAUAGUGGAAUAUGACAAUAUUUCUAAACAUAGUUAAUAAUGCAUUAGGGCAUCUACAUUAAUUAGUCUAUAAAUUCUUUAAGUUUCUCACUACAAAUCUUUUUAUUUGAAAAUAUAACUUUUAGAAAUUUGACAAGUAUCAACCGAAUUUUUCAAACACAUGAGGGUCACUCAUUUUUAUUCAAUUAGUGAUUUAAAGUUUUUAGUUGAUGAAU